rnacentral:rRNA from 1 species
CGAGAUUCCCCCAGUAGCGGCGAGCGAACGGGGAGCAGCCCAGAGCCUGAAUCAGUGUGUGUGUUAGUGGAAGCGUCUGGAAAGGCGUGCGAUACAGGGUGACAGCCCCGUACACAAAAAUGCACAUACUGUGAGCUCGAUGAGUAGGGCGGGACACGUGGUAUCCUGUCUGAAUAUGGGGGGACCAUCCUCCAAGGCUAAAUACUCCUGACUGA